rnacentral:misc_RNA from 1 species
CACCUUAUUCUUUUUAUUUAUAAGACAUUUCUUAUCCCUCGUCAUUUUUAUUUUUCUUUUUAAUAAAAAAUUUUCAGUCUACCAUAUCAAUCUAUCAUCUCUUACAUCACGAAUCCUCUCCAACACCUUCUCAAGAUUUUAUAAGUCUAUAAUAUUGCUUCAAUAUUCCUCUUCACUCUUGCUCUAGCCACUAAUUUUGGGUGUGAGUAUAGUACAAAUUCAUCGCAAUAGUGAUUUUUAUUGAUAAUUAUCUUUUUUUUAUUUUUAUUUGAUUGUUAGAUUUAAUUUUCUGAUUCUUAUAUUACUUAGUUCUAGUUUGAUCUUAAAACUGGAUUUUGACAAUUGGGUAUUAACCCCUCUGAU